AUUCCUCCUUUGCCCAUAUGUCGAUUCUCCAUAGAUCCUCGUGGAAUUCAAAGAAGAAAAAUUAUAGAAGAAGAAAAAUAUGGAUGCCGCGAGGAAAGGAGUGGCGGGCGCAACCUACUCCAUGGCUGCUAUUCUCCUAACUAAGGUCUCAUCAGUGUUUCGCCAUGCAGCCUGGUUAAAUUUUCUAAUUGCUUUCUCUUUGAUAAUUGAAGGAGUUGGCAUUUUGUCAAUGAUUGACUUGCAUGGAAUGAUGAGAAACAAAAUGAGAUGACAAUCAA